CUAACUCCCCAUGGUCUCCGAUGAGGACAUCCGAAUUGGAGUAAAGCUUCGCGGACAUGGAUGGGGAUGCGUCUGAUUAGGUAGUAGGCGGGGUAACGGCCCACCUAGCCUACGAUCAGUAGGGGUUCUGAGAGGAAGGUCCCCCACAUUGGAACUGAGACACGGUCCAAACUCCUACGGGAGGCAGCAGUGAGGAAUAUUGGUCAAUGGACGCGAGUCUGAACCAGCCAAGUAGCGUGCAGGAUGACGGCCCUAUGGGUUGUAAACUGCUUUUGCGCGGGGAUAACACCCUCCACGUGCUGGAGGUCUGCAGGUACCGCGCGAAUAAGGACCGGCUAAUUCCGUGCCAGCAGCCGCGGUAAUACGGAAGGUCCGGGCGUUAUCCGGAUUUAUUGGGUUUAAAGGGAGCGUAGGCCGUGAGGUAAGCGUGUUGUGAAAUGUAGGCGCCCAACGUCUGCACUGCAGCGCGAACUGCCCCACUUGAGUGCGCGCAACGCCGGCGGAACUCGUCGUGUAGCGGUGAAAUGCUUAGAUAUGACGAAGAACCCCGAUUGCGAAGGCAGCUGGCGGGAGCGUAACUGACGCUGAAGCUCGAAAGCGCGGGUAUCGAACAGGAUUAGAUACCCUGGUAGUCCGCGCGGUAAACGAUGGAUGCCCGCUGUGGCGCGCCUGGCGUGCCGCGGCUAAG
rnacentral:rRNA from 1 species